AUUGAACGCUGGCGGCAUGCCUUACACAUGCAAGUCGAACGGUAACAGGUCUUCGGAUGCUGACGAGUGGCGAACGGGUGAGUAAUACAUCGGAACGUGCCCGAUCGUGGGGGAUAACGAGGCGAAAGCUUUGCUAAUACCGCAUACGAUCUACGGAUGAAAGCGGGGGAUCUUCGGACCUCGCGCGGACGGAGCGGCCGAUGGCAGAUUAGGUAGUUGGUGGGAUAAAAGCGUACCAAGCCGACGAUCUGUAGCUGGUCUGAGAGGAUGAUCAGCCACACUGGGACUGAGACACGGCCCAGACUCCUACGGGAGGCAGCAGUGGGGAAUUUUGGACAAUGGGCGAAAGCCUGAUCCAGCCAUGCCGCGUGCAGGAUGAAGGCCUUCGGGUUGUAAACUGCUUUUGUACGGAACGAAAAGCCUCUUUCUAAUAAAGAGGGGUCAUGACGGUACCGUAAGAAUAAGCACCGGCUAACUACGUGCCAGCCGCCGCCGUAACAC
rnacentral:rRNA from 1 species